UUGCCAAGAAUACUGCAGGGACUUGUACCGGCAGUCGCCAGGGAUUAAGACUGACUUGAAGGCACAAAACAAAGCUUGAACAAAAACUUCAGCAAUUUAGGCCUAAGUAUGUCUAAUUCAUGUGAGAAAAAUCCCAUUUUUCAGGGCAAAUUUUAGAGCUUGCUAUAAGAAAUUGUAGGUUUUGCAUAAAAUGCAUUCUCUUCUAGCUUCGCUAGCAUGGGGUUUGUCUCAUACUAAUUCUAGGAUAACUUUGAACAGUAGGUAGACUUGUGCCUAAACUGUAAGUUUAUGAACAUGGUCAAGAGUUGUUCUCUAUUUAGAAAAAAAAAAGAUAAUGCUCAUUUGAUGUUUGUACAGGUAGUCUUCAGUUAAGGAUGGCAAUUGAGAUUGGAAUUUUCAUCGCUAAGCAACAUGGUCGUAGAGCGCGAUGUCACGUGACCACGUCACUUAGUGAUGGCAGUUCUGACACUUCCAGUUGCCAUUGUUAAGCAAAUCCUGCACCAUCAUUAAGUGUGAUUGCAACUCUUUUGAACCACAGCAGUGCAGCAUCUGGCAUCAUUUCCCAACCAGUUGUCCUCCAGAUGCUGAUCAUUCUGGGGAUUAAAAUCUCAUCUUAAUGGGAGGAUAGCACAUUGUGGUAGGUUGUGCUAGAGUAACAUUAGAAGUCUUAUAUCAUGCAGGGAAACCCAUUGAUACAGCUUUGCCCCACGUUACUGUGGGUUCUUCUUGACAGCAUAAGCACAAUUAUAAGGUAGUUACAAACUGUUAAGGUAACAAAAAGAUUCAACCACAAAUUAAAAACCUGUUUUUACUACACCCAAAUUCCACCCAAACAAUAUAUGAAUGUAUUUAUUGUUUGCAAAAUUGAUAAUCCCUUUGGUCUGAUUUUUUUGUCCACACUAGAUUUUUUUUUCCUGGCAACUAAUGAUAUUGAUAAAACUUGCAAUAAUGAGAAUUACAACUGUAGAGGAAAAAUAGUACAACUGGAAGAGAAGAUAACAAUGCUCAGAAACUCAGCAAUUGCAUGUGGUUACAGGAGGCUUAAUGAGAAUAAUUUUCCAUUGCACAAGAACUUCCCUAUUCAACAAAGAGCCCAGUUUGUGUUAUUUGUGCUACUCCAAAAUCAGUAGAUUGGGAAAAUUGCAUAUAAAUAUAUAUCCAGUAUGUUAUGUGGUUUGGAAACUUAGCAACAGCAAGAUGAAUGUUCUGUGGAAUUUGGUAUCCUAUCUGAUGAUUCUGUGCAAAAUUCUACACACAGAACCGCAAUGAUAAAUAGCUCUGAUUACAUACCUAAAUAAACAUUCUGAGAUUAAGUUUAAAUAAAUGGUUAAUUUUA